AGAGCAUCUGCGUUUCUAUGAGCUGUCAUCCACACCGGGAAGCCUGUCUAUGAAUCUGCAGUCAGACUUCAAUGAUCCAACCCCACUCUCUGCACACAAGAUUGAUGGCAUGCUGCUGUUGACCCCCAAGAGGUUCAUACAAGUGAGACCACUGGAAUUACAUGAUGUCCACACAAGGCGUACCACUGUUCUCCAUGCCCUUCCUGUCUAUCUACGUGAGGAAACCUCUGGAUUUUUGAGGACGUGUGGAUGAUACCAAUGAGCCGGACCUCGGAUGCAGCAGUUGUCCUCCUGACAACCAUCACCGAUGAUGCCGAGAGUCCAGUUACGUACGACCCAGUGAGAAUCUGUUAUCCUAGAGGGUGAUGUGAUUGUCAACCUCUCCAGGCUUCCUGAUGUCUUCCUGGUAAUGUUCGGCCUCAUCUAUGCUUUACAUCUAGAUUAUCCGAAGGGACUGACCAACACAUUUGAGUUCACGCAGAAAAUCUUACUUGGUCUUGAUGAGUCUAAACUAUCACCCACGCUGCAGAGUCAAAAAUGACCUGAUGUUAGAUGUGUAACUCAAAAUCUGAAAGAGUGGUGGAUUCAGAUGGCUCACUCUGUUAAAGCAUUGUCCACAUCCACAAUGUAAUUUACUAUUUGUCUGCUCUUUAAUUGUUGAUGUUAAAGUAACACACCACCAUUUGGGCAAAUAUGUUCAUUUUCCACUUCUCCUUGAGUUAACCCUCCCACUGUCCUAAUGGGUGUGACCCCGCGAGGAAAGUUGACCAUUGA